UUCUGGGAGGAUUGACAGAUUCAGAGCUCUUUCUUGAUUCGGUGGAUGGUGGUGCAUGUCCAUUCUUAGUUGGUGAAGCGACUUGUCCGCUUAAUUCCGAUAAGGAACAAGACUCUAGCCUAUUAAAUAGGUGCGUGGUUCCCUGCACCUUACACCCUUCUUAGAGGGACAAGUGGCUCCUAGCCGCACGAAACAGAGCAAUAACAGGUCUGUGAUGCCCUUAGAU
rfam:Ixodes scapularis strain Wikel colony gcontig_1107729105780, whole genome shotgun sequence.